CAGCCGCCGCGGUAAUACGAGGGGGGCAAGCGUUGUUCGGAUUUAUUGGGCGUAAAGGGUGCGCAGGCGGUUUAGUAAGUCUGAAGUUAAAGGCAUUGGCUCAACCAAUGUAUGCUUUGGAAACUGUUAGACUUGAGUGCAGAAGGGGAGAGUGGAAUUCCAUGUGUAGCGGUGAAAUGCGUAGAUAUAUGGAGGAACACCGGUGGCGAAAGCGGCUCUCUGGUCUGUCACUGACGCUGAGGCUCGAAAGCGUGGGUAGCGAACAGGAUUAGAUACCCGGGUAGUCCCUGUCUCUUAUACC
rnacentral:rRNA from 1 species